rnacentral:rRNA from 1 species
AGAGUUUGAUCAUGGCUCAGAACGAACGCUGGCGGCGUGCUUAACACAUGCAAGUCGAACGCGAAAGGGACUUCGGUCCCGAGUAGAGUGGCGCACGGGUGAGUAACGCGUAAGUAAUCUACCCCUGUAUCUGGAAUAACCCACCGAAAGGUGAGCUAAUACCGGAUACGUUUAUCUUGAUGCGAAUGAUGAUAAAGAAAGGUGGCCUCUUCAUGAAAGCUACCGUACAGGGACGAGCUUGCGUACCAUUAGCUGGUUGGUAGGGUAAUGGCCUACCAAGGCGACGAUGGUUAGCGGGUCUGAGAGGAUGAUCCGCCACACUGGAACUGAAACACGGACCAGACUCCUACGGGAGGCAGCAGUGAGGAAUAUUGCGCAAUGGGGGCAACCCUGACGCAGCGACGCCGCGUGGACGAUGAAGGCCCUUGGGUCGUAAAAUCCUGUCAGAUGGAAAGAAAUGUACAGGUGUUAAUAUCGCCUGUAUUUGACGGUACCAUCAAAGGAAGCACCGGCUAACUCCGUGCCAGCAGCCGCGGUAAUACGGAGGGUGCGAGCGCUGUUCGGAAUUACUGGGCGUAAAGCGCGCGUAGGCGGUUUGCUAAGUCAGAUGUGAAAGCCCUCGGCUUAACCGGGGACGUGCAUUUGAAACUGGCAGACUUGAGUACUGGAGGGGGUGGUGGAAUUCCCGGUGUAGAGGUGAAAUUCGUAGAUAUCGGGAGGAAUACCGGUGGCGAAGGCGACCACCUGGCCAGAUACUGACGCUGAGGUGCGAAAGCGUGGGGAGCAAACAGGAUUAGAUACCCUGGUAGUCCACGCCGUAAACGAUGAGAACUAGGUGUUGGGAUGGUUAAUCGUCUCAUUGCCGCAGCUAACGCAUUAAGUUCUCCGCCUGGGGAGUACGGUCGCAAGAUUAAAACUCAAAGGAAUUGACGG